GUGGAAUUUGCAUUUUUUCCUUUUGUGGUAAAGCAUUAUGUGAGUAAGAUGAAGUUUGCAGUUCCUUUUUCACAUCCUUUUGUCCUUCUUUAGUCUAAGGGAUUUUAGCCCUGAAGGGUCCACUAAAAUUUUGCAAGAAGACUUUUGAAGAGAGGCUUGAGCAUGUGCUGAGUUUCCUGCACUGAAGCUUCCAUCGAAGAUACACAAGGAUGGACUCAAUGUUUGCUGCAGCUUCCUGGGAAGGGGGAAAACCAACUUUAGGGCCUUGAAAGCUAAGGAGAAAGAGAGCUCUCAAUCUCCAGCCAGCUUUAGAUUAUGAUCUGUGAACUACGAUGGAGGCACAGAGCUACUGAUCCCUUCCUUGUCCUUGCUUAUAUAAGGGUUCCUGCCGUCUGUCCAAGAAGUAGCAGUUGCCUCUACAUGGCUACAGGGAAGCCAGGUCCCAUGUGCAGCUUCUGGUGGGUCAGGCAUUAUGAGUGCACAAGCAGGACGUGGCCUGCUGAACCUUACCUUGUGGAGUGCUGAUUGUGAGCUGAAGACAGCCCUGAGCAGAAGCACAG
ensembl:lncRNA